rnacentral:rRNA from 1 species
CAGCCGCCGCGGGAAUACGAAGGGUGCAAGCGUUAAUCGGAAUUACUGGGCGUAAAGCGUGCGUAGGCGGUGAGUUAAGUCUGCUGUGAAAUCCCCGGGCGCAACCUGGGAAUGGCAGUGGAUACUGGCUCGCUAGAGUGUGUCAGAGGAUGGUGGAAUUCCCGGUGUAGCGGUGAAAUGCGUAGAGAUCGGGAGGAACAUCAGUGGCGAAGGCGGCCAUCUGGGACAACACUGACGCUGAGGCACGAAAGCGUGGGGAGCAAACAGGAUUAGAUACCCCAGUAGUCCCUGUCUCUUAUAC